rnacentral:lncRNA from 1 species
CGAGAAAUUCUACGGUGUUCACAUGCUUGAGAAAUAGCAAAGAUAAGUUAAAGGACAUGGAAAAAGUUAGCAUAUGCACUAUACCAUUAGAAGACAAAGACACAGGUUAAGAAAGAGAAUUCAUCGGCAUGACAGGAAGGACUCUUGAACAAAGGCUUAGAGAACACAAGAAUGAUGUGAAGAAUGGAAAGGCCACCACAGCCCUAGCGCAAGAAUUUUUUGUGAAAAACAUCGAGAUAAAAUGGAAUGACGCUAAAUUAAUAAAAAGAAUAAACAACAUGAAACAUGGCUUAAUAAGAGUCUCUCUUGAAAUAGAAAAAAGGAAGGAGAGUAAAUGCAUUAUAAAUAAUAACGAAGCUAGAGAACUAUCGGCCCCAUGGAAAUACGCUAUUAAAGAUAUGUUUAGAUAUCAGUAAUCCCGUCAGAAAGACAUUUAAAAGCUGC